rnacentral:rRNA from 1 species
UACGGGGGGGGCAAGCGUUGUUCGGAAUUACUGGGCGUAAAGGGCUCGUAGGUGGCCAACUAAGUCAGACGUGAAAUCCCUCGGCUUAACCGGGGAACUGCGUCUGAUACUGGAUGGCUUGAGGUUGGGAGAGGGAUGCGGAAUUCCAGGUGUAGCGGUGAAAUGCGUAGAUAUCUGGAGGAACACCGGUGGCGAAGGCGGCUCUCUGGACCACUACUGACGCUGAGGCGCGAAAGCUAGGGGAGCAAACAGG